GAGUACCAGUACAUAAGGAAAGGGCCAGGUUCAAAAGUGACCCAGCCCAAAGAAAAUAACCAAAAUACAAUCAGACAACAACUACAGAGAUGAAAAUUCAUUUUGGAAAUAUCUUUGGAAAAGCAAGAAGCUUUUUUUUCCUAAAUCCUCAACUUCGGUGGAAUCUCUUCUUAAUGAUCAACGUGGUCAUCAGUUAGCUCUAUUGAAUCAUGUGAAAUGUUUCUUCUAUCUUAUCAGUUAUCCGCAACUGGAAUCCAUUCCGUUCAUCCAUCCUCUGCACAAAUCAGAUAAGUGUCUCUCCUUUCAAACUCAUAUAAACAUUGUCAUUUUCCUCUUCCUCUUAAUCGGUGGAUUGAAUCUCUAAUAAGAUUUAUACCACCACCAGAUCCUAAGUAAGAAAAAAGUGCUUAUAGAGAUUCAUCUGUUGUUCAUUUCUAUGCAGGUUAAAAUUACUCUUUCAGAUCUAAUUUUCCAAGGUAAAGAACCUAGUUGCAUGCUUGUCCUGCUUCGUAUCUAUUGAACACCUCAAAUCUCACAGUUGGUUGAAGGAAAAUCAUCUACUUCUUCCAUGAAUACUCCAUCUCUUCAAGGAGAAUCAUCUACUUAUUCCAUGAAUAUUCAAUUGGUUGAAGAAGAAUCAUCUACUUCUUCUCAAACUCAAUGGAGCUACGAUGUUUUUCUGAGUUUUAGAGGUGACGAUAUGUGCAGUAACUUCACUGGUCAUCUUUAUACCUGUUUGUGCCAAGUUGGAGUUAAUACUUUCCUAGAUGAUGAGACACUGAGAAAAGGCGACAUCAUUUCAACCAAACUUGAGAAAGCAGUUGAAGAGUCUAGGAUUUCUAUUAUUGUUUUCUCAAAAAGUUAUGCAUUGUCUAGUGUAUGUCAUUAGAAAUUUAUAUUGAUGAUGUUUCUAUUUCUGUGUAUGUCAUUAGAUAUUUGUAUUGAUGAUGUUUCUAUUUUUGUGUAUGUCAAAAAUAUUUUCAUCAAGAAUUCUGAAAAUUUUGCAAAAUGAAACCAUCAAAUUGAUCAUCA